GCACUGCGGCGCUCUCCCGUCCCGCGGUGGUUGCUGCUGCUGCCGCUGCUGCUGGGCCUGAACGCAGGAGCUGUCAUUGACUGGCCCACAGAGGAGGGCAAGGAAGUAUGGGAUUAUGUGACGGUCCGCAAGGAUGCCUACAUGUUCUGGUGGCUCUAUUAUGCCACCAACUCCUGCAAGAACUUCUCAGAACUGCCCCUGGUCAUGUGGCUUCAGGUAAAGUAGCUUCCCAGCCUGGCCUGAGGUCAAAGCCAAGUCUCCUCUGUGUGGCUCUUUGCUUGCUUUUUGGGCUGAUGUCUCAGCAGUGAAGGGCGGAUUUGGUCCAGCAGUGUGACCUGGGGGUUCGGCGUGCUUCUGAGGUAGGCUGAGGCAAUGGUAUAGCCAAGGAGGCUAAAUCAGAGGGCGAGGGGGUUCUAGCCUUUUGCCAGAGUCUCUUUAUAUUUCCAGACGGUCACAAGAAGGCUCACUGAAAACUCCUGAUGAUACAUUUGAAUACAUAGUGAUAGAAAGUGUUUUGAGGCCGGGCACAGUGGCUCAUGUCUGUAAUCCCAGAACUUUGGGAGGCCGAGGUGGGUGGAUCAUACGAGGCCAGGAGUUCGAGACCAGGCUGGCCGACAUAGUGAAACGCUGUCUCUACUAAAAAUAUUUAAUACAAAAAUUAUCCAGGCAUGGUAGCACAUACCUAUAAUCCCAGCUACUCAGAUGGUUGAGGCAUGAGAAUUGCUUGGACCCGGGAGGCGGAGGUAGCAGUGAGCUGAGAUCGUGCCACUGCGCUCCAGCCUGGGCGACAGAGCAAGACCCUAUCUC
rnacentral:lncRNA from 10 species